rnacentral:rRNA from 1 species
AUACGUAGGGGGCGAGCGUUGUCCGGAAUGACUGGGCGUAAAGGGCGUGUAGGCGGCCGAUUAAGUCUGGAGUGAAAGUCCCGCUUUCAAGGUGGGAAUUGCUUUGGAGACUGGUUGGCUUGAGUGCGGAAGAGGUAAGUGGAAUUCCCAGUGUAGCGGUGAAAUGCGUAGAGAUUGGGAGGAACACCAGUGGCGAAGGCGACUUACUGGGCCGUAACUGACGCUGAGGCGCGAAAGCGUGGGGAGCGAACAGGAUUAGAUACCCUGGGAGUCCACGCUGUAAACGAUGAAUGCUAGGUGUAGGGGGUAUCGACCCCUCCUGUGCCGGAGUAAACGCAAUAAGCAUUCCGCCUGGGGAGUACGGCCGCAAGGUUGAAACUCAAAGGAAUUGACGGGG